CGGGUUGUAGCUCAGUUGGUAGAGCGGUGUCAGACGUGGCACGCAUUCGCGCAGGUUCGAGUCCUGCCAACCCGAC
rnacentral:tRNA from 1 species